CACCAUGCUUGGGGAGAAUCAAGUGAGAUUAUGGGCAUGAAAAUAUUUUUCACCUGGAAAGCACACAAGGAUAGGAAGAGUUUGGUUCUCAGAAGAGCUAUGAACUCAGAUCUGCAACUGCUACUCAGUAUCUGUAUGAUCUUAGGGCUGCAAGUGUCAUGAUAAG